UCCCAAAGUCAUGGUUAAGUGGGAAACGAUGUGGGAAGGCCCAGACAGCCAGGAUGUUGGCUUAGAAGCAGCCAUCAUUUAAAGAAAGCGUAAUAGCUCACUGGUCGAGUCGGCCUGCGCGGAAGAUGUAACGGGGCUAAACCAUGCACCGAAGCUGCGGCAGCGACGCUGAUGCGUUGUUGGGUAGGGGAGCGUUCUGUAAGCCUGUGAAGGUGGCCUGUGAGGGUUGCUGGAGGUAUCAGAAGUGCGAAUGCUGACAUAAGUAACGAUAAAGCGGGUGAAAAGCCCGCUCGCCGGAAGACCAAGGGUUCCUGUCCAACGUUAAUCGGGGCAGGGUGAGUCGACCCCUAAGGCGAGGCCGAAAGGCGUAGUCGAUGGGAAACGGGUUAAUAUUCCCGUACUUGGUGUUACUGCGAAGGGGGGACGGAGAAGGCUAUGUUGGCCGGGCGACGGUUGUCCCGGUUUAAGCGUGUAGGUGUGUGUUCCAGGUAAAUCCGGUUCACUUUAACACUGAGGCGUGAUGACGAGGCACUACGGUGCUGAAGCAACAAAUGCCCUGCUUCCAGGAAAAGCCUCUAAGCAUCAGGUAACAUCAAAUCGUACCCCAAACCGACACAGGUGGUCAGGUAGAGAAUACCAAGGCGCUUGAGAGAACUCGGGUGAAGGAACUAGGCAAAAUGGUGCCGUAACUUCGGGAGAAGGCACGCUGACAC
rnacentral:rRNA from 1 species